UCACCAUUAGUGUUUUAAACCCUAAACUGAACUGUUCCCACUUAAUCAGGAUUAGGGUUUUUGAACCAUAAACUGAACUCUUUCCUUCAGUCAGCAUUAGGGUUUUAAACCCUGAACUGAACUUUUUCCCAUUUAGUCAGCAUUAGGGUUUUAAACCCUAAACUGAACUCUUUCCUUCAGUCAGCAUUAGGGUUUUAAACCCUAAACUGAACUUUUUUUCCUUUAAUCAGCAUUAGGGUUUUAAACCCUAAACUGAACUUUUUCCUUUAGUCAGCAUUAGGGUUUUAAACUCUAAACUGAACUUUUCCAUUCAGUCAGCAUUAGGGUUUUAAAACCCUAAACUGAACUUUUUCCUUUAGUCAGCAUUAGGGUUUUAAACCCUAAACUGAACUCUUUCCUUUAGUCAGCAUUAGGGUUUUAAACCCUAAACUGAACUCUUUCCUUUAGUCAGCAUCAGGGUUUUAAACCCUAAACUGAACUUUUCCUUCAGUCAGCAUUAGGGUUUUAAACCUUAAACUGAACUUUUCCUUUUAGUCAGCAUUAGGGUUUUAAACCCUAAACUGAAUUUUCCUUUAGUCAGCAUUAGGGUUUUAAACCCUAAACUGAAUUUUCCUUUAGUCAGCAUUAGGGUUUUAAACCCUAAACUGAAUUUUCCUUUAGUCAGCAUUAGGGUUUUAAACCCUAAACUGAACUUUUUCCUUUUAGCCAGCAUUAGAGUUUUAAACUCUAAACUGAGCUUUUCCAUGCAAUCAGCAUUAGGGUUUUAAACCCUAAACUGAAUUUUCCUUUAGUCAGCAUUAGGGUUUUAAACCCUAAACUGAAUUCUCUUUUAGUCAGCAUUAGGGUUUUAAACCCUAAACUGAACUUUUUCCUUUUAGCCAGCAUUAGAGUUUUAAACUCUAAACUGAGCUUUUCCAUGCAAUCAGCAUUAGGGUUUUAAACCCUAAACUGAAUUUUCCUUUAGUCAGCAUUAGGGUUUUAAACCCUAAACUGAACUUUUUCCUUUUAGCCAGCAUUAGAGUUUUAAACUCUAAACUGAGCUUUUCCAUGCAAUCAGCAUUAGGGUUUUAAACCCUAAACUGUAUUUUCCUUUAGUCAGCAUUAGGGUUUUAAACUCUAAACUGAAUUCUCUUUAGUCAGCAUUAAGGUUUUAAACCCUAAA
rnacentral:lncRNA from 1 species